rnacentral:rRNA from 1 species
AGGGUGUAAGCGCUGCAGACUUGGUGUUGGAAGCCCUUUGGGGGCAUUCAGUGCCGGAGAGAAGUUGUUAAGUCUGCUACUUGGGGAGUACGUCCGCAAGGAUGAAACUUAAAGGAAUUGGCGGGGGAGCACCGCAACGGGAGGAGCGUGCGGUUUAAUUGGAUUCAACACCGUAAAACUCACCAGGGAAGACUGUUACAUGAAGGCCGAGAUGAAGACUCUGCCAGAUUUUUCAGAGAGGAGGUGCAUGGCGUCAGUGACU